AGAACGAACGCUGGCGGCAGGCUUAACACAUGCAAGUCGAACGCUCGUAGCAAUACGGGAGUGGCAGACGGGUGAGUAACGCGUGGGAACAUACCCUCUGGUUCGGAAUAGCUCAGGGAAACUUGGAUUAAUACCGGAUACGGCUGAGAGGCGAAAGAUUUAUCGCCGGAGGAUUGGCCCGCGUUCGAUUAGCUUGUUGGUGAGGUAACGGCUCACCAAGGCGAUGAUCGAUAGCUGGUCUGAGAGGAUGAUCAGCCACAUUGGGACUGAGACACGGCCCAAACUCCUACGGGAGGCAGCAGUGGGGAAUAUUGGACAAUGGGCGCAAGCCUGAUCCAGCCAUGCCGCGUGAGUGAUGACGGCCUUAGGGUUGUAAAGCUCUUUCGCUCGGGACGAUAAUGACGGUACCGAGAUAAGAAGCCCGGCUAACUUCGUGCCAGCAGCCGC
rnacentral:rRNA from 1 species